rnacentral:rRNA from 1 species
UCCCUACGGGGGGCAGCAGUGAGGAAUAUUGGUCAAUGGGCGGGAGCCUGAACCAGCCAAGUCGCGUGAGGGAAGACGGUCCUAUGGAUUGUAAACCUCUUUAGGCGGGGAGCAAUGCCGGGCACGCGUGCCCGGAGGGAGAGUACCCGCAGAAUAAGCAUCGGCUAACUCCGUGCCAGCAGCCGCGGUAAUACGUAGGUGGCAAGCGUUGUCCGGAUUUAUUGGGCGUAAAGCGAGUGCAGGCGG